rnacentral:rRNA from 1 species
AGAAUCAACGCUGGCGGCGUGCCUAACACAUGCAAGUCGCACGAGAAAGGGACUUCGGUCCUGAGUACAGUGGCGCACGGGUGAGUAACACGUGAAUAAUCUACCUCCGAGUGGGGAAUAACUGAGAGAAAUCUUAGCUAAUACCGCAUAACACUUACGAGUCAAAGCAGCAAUGCGCUUGGAGAGGAGUUCGCGGCAGAUUAGUUAGUUGGCGGGUAAUGGCCCACAAGACGAUGAUCUGUA